rnacentral:pre_miRNA from 11 species
CGCCGAGUACCAAACAUCCCAACGGUUGUCGAUGGGUGUGAAUCUAGUGUUUCACAUGAUUUUCGAUAGCCUGUGACUAGAUCCACACUCAUUAACAAAAGUUGCCGGAAAGCAUCCACUUCCAU